AGGCACCGGAGAGAUUGGAACUCUUGAUCUCCUUUUUAUUAGACAGGCGCUUUAAACCAACUAAGCCACGACGCC
rnacentral:tRNA from 1 species